GAUGAACGCUAGCUACAGGCUUAACACAUGCAAGUAGAGGGACCGGCGCACGGGUGAGUAACACGUAUCCAACCUGCCCUUUACUCGGGGAUAGCCUUUCGAAAGAAAGAUUAAUACCCGAUAUAAAGGAUGGGGAUGCGUUCCAUUAGGUUGUUGGUGAGGUAACGGCUCACCAAGCCUUCGAUGGAUAGGGGUUCUGAGAGGAUCUUCCCACACCUUGGAACUUAGACACGAUCCCCCCUCCUUCUAUCUUCAUCCCUUCAUCUUAUUGCUCAAUUGGCGCUAACCUUAACCAGCCAAGUAGCGUGAAAUCUAAACUCUUCUUCGUCGUAAACUUCUUUUAUAUAAGAAUAUGUAUUAUAUGAAUAAGGAUCGGCUAACUCCGUGCCAGCCGCCGCGGUAAUAA
rnacentral:rRNA from 1 species